rnacentral:rRNA from 1 species
UGGAUCCAGACUUUGAUUCUGGCUCAGGAUGAACGCUAGCUACAGGCUUAACACAUGCAAGUCGAGGGGCAGCAUGGUCUUAGCUUGCUAAGGCCGAUGGCGACCGGCGCACGGGUGAGUAACACGUAUCCAACCUGCCGUCUACUCUUGGACAGCCUUCUGAAAGGAAGAUUAAUACAAGAUGGCAUCAUGAGUCCACAUGUUCACAUGAUUAAAGGUAUUCCGGUAGACGAUGGGGAUGCGUUCCAUUAGAUAGUAGGCGGGGUAACGGCCCACCUAGUCUUCGAUGGAUAGGGGUUCUGAGAGGAAGGUCCCCCACAUUGGAACUGAGACACGGUCCAAACUCCUACGGGAGGCAGCAGUGAGGAAUAUUGGUCAAUGGGCGAGAGCCUGAACCAGCCAAGUAGCGUGAAGGAUGACUGCCCUAUGGGUUGUAAACUUCUUUUAUAAAGGAAUAAAGUCGGGUAUGCAUACCCGUUUGCAUGUACUUUAUGAAUAAGGAUCGGCUAACUCCGUGCCAGCAGCCGCGGUAAUACGGAGGAUCCGAGCGUUAUCCGGAUUUAUUGGGUUUAAAGGGAGCGUAGAUGGAUGUUUAAGUCAGUUGUGAAAGUUUGCGGCUCAACCGUAAAACUGCAGUUGAUACUGGAUAUCUUGAGUGCAGUUGAGGCAGGCGGAAUUCGUGGUGUAGCGGUGAAAUGCUUAGAUAUCACGAGGAACUCCGAUUGCGAAGGCAGCCUGCUAAGCUGCAACUGACAUUGAGGCUCGAAAGUGUGGGUAUCAAACAGGAUUAGAUACCCUGGUAGUCCACACGGUAAACGAUGAAUACUCGCUGUUUGCGAUAUACUGCAAGCGGCCAAGCGAAAGCGUUAAGUAUUCCACCUGGGGAGUACGCCGGCAACGGUGCAACUCAAAUGAAUUGACGGA